GCCCUGGUGGUGGAGGGGUUAAACACGUGACCAUAUCAAGAGGCUAUAGUCCUUGAUGCGGUUGUCCUGGGUUCGAGUCCCGGACCUUGUGACU